rnacentral:rRNA from 1 species
GUUUUAAGAUGAGGUUUCGUUAAGGUCCCCUAAAGACGAUAGGGUAGAUAGGCCAGACCUGGAAGCACUGUAAGGUGUGAAGGCUACUGGUACUAAUUGACCACAACAAACACCAA